CAAGUCAGUAUGGCCCUUACGGCCAGGGCUGCACACGUACUACAAUGCCCAGUACAGAACGAUCCAAGACCGCGAGGUGGAGGAAAUCACUAAAACUGGGCCCAGUUCAGAUUGAAGUCUGCAACUCGACUUCAUGAAGCCGGAAUCGCUAGUAAUGGCGUAUCAGCUACGACGCCGUGAAUACGUUCCCGGGCCUUGUACACACCGCCCGUCACAUCAUGGGAGUCGCUUGUAGCCGAAGCCGGCGCGCUAACCGCAAGGAGGCAGCCGCCUACGCUAUGAGCGGUAACUGGGAUGAAGUCGUAACAAGGUAGCCGUAGGGGAACCUGCGGCUGGAUCACCUCCUUUCUAAGGAGAAA
rnacentral:rRNA from 1 species